CAACAGCUCUUGCCAUCAGAAAGCUCUUCCUGAUGUUUAGUCGGAAUCUUCUUGCUUGUAACUUGAAGACAUUGGUUCGGGUCCUAGCAUCUGAAGCAAAAUUCACAUAUAACUUGGUGCUACUUUUUAAGACACACACACAAAUCAACCAUCUAUGAGUAGCAUAGCAUAUGAGCUAAGAAGAGCACGUGAAUUUUUGCUGUAGUCAUUUCCAUGAAGAUGAAUGUACAGUGGUUGUGGUGUAUAACAAUAAUUUGUGCUAGUCAACCAAAUGCUGACUUCUUCCUGUCACAUGAGCCAGUAGCUUACAGAUCUCGGGGGGGGGGAUUUGUUCUCCAUUCCCUUACCCUCCAGCCUUUGGUUAAGCUAGCAGAGAGGACCCUCUGCCCCAUGGGCCUAAUUGAACCCACCAGGCUUCUGAAUUUAGUCUGUGAGACCAUUUGGGGCAAUCCAUGGCCACCCAUCAGUCAUAUGACAGAUUUCUGCACCUAUCUCUAUUAGCGUUAAGUGCUCAGAUCAGAGAUAAGGGAUUUCCUCACACGACAGCACUAAGAUGGGAGACGAGCCUCUCCUUGCUACUUAAUAGUAAAAAGCAUCAGUAGAGGCUUAUCUCCAGUCUUAGUGCUGUGGGACCAGUAAGCUUAACCAUUCAGCUCACAUCUUGUUAUGUGGGAUCGAGUGUUUUCUUUCCAUGUGCUCUGCAGGGCAGGAAGGGAGCGCUGUGCUGUGGCAUCCUUUUUGAAAGAUGAGUGGCUGAAGAAAUUUGGAGAGACUGAGCAGCGUGAACUGCAAUUGAUUGCACAGAGGACGCUACUGGCAAGAUCUAAGUUUUAAUGAGAUAGCUCACCAGUGAGCCUGUUAUAGGAUAUAGUGCCAAAGGCCAGAUACUUCACUUCUUCAAGUAGUGUAAUAAAAAUAACUUUUAUUUGCAAUUUAUAAAUCGACUUAAAUUGGUUUUCCUUCUAAUGCUUUUAUUAUCAUGCAAAUGAGCUGCCACAAAGCUGUUAAAUUAUCUUUGUUGCAGAGAAUAUUGGCACUAACUUAUAAACCAUGCUCCUUUUUUAAAUAGGCAUUCAUGUUUUAUGUUGAAAUGUCGCCAUAAAUAUCCAGUGAUAACUUUUUAAUUUCUUCAUUAAAGAGGAAGGGUGAGGGGUUUCGUAACACGUUCCGCAGGAGUUAAGCUGAAGAUUGUCAUUUGUCCCCACCCACCUUUCAUUUGUGUGGGACACUCAAAAUAGCCUCUUGAAAUCCUACCUUUUGCUAAGUGUCGAGAAUGAAAAGGAUAGGUGGAAAGUAGAAAAGGGGUUGGGAACUGGAGCUGGCUGGUGGGCUGGAUCCUCGUCUCCCCUGCCUGCUGUGAGCCAUAUGUGGCAAGUAGGCAUCACACAUGACAUCAGGCAGGUGGUGUGACUUGUGAACCAAAUGGCAUCGCCUGGCAAGCCUAAUUGGGUCCAAGAGCAGGGUGUUUCCCACCACUGCAGUAGCAUUUCUGUUCUAAGUCCUGAUCCAGAAAUGUACCUGAGCAGAAGUAGGCUGUGUGCAUGGCUGCUUAACUGCCCAGUGCUUUGAGAAUACUAGUGAUCCCUUUUGGUGAAAUGGAGUGCUUAAGCACAAGACAACUUUUAAGCCCAUCAAUGUUGUUUCUUAUUAUACAAAAUAUACUUUUACCUUCAUGGCCUACUUGUGAGCUUCCCAGAGUCAGCUGGCUGACCACUGUUGGUGGUGAAAAGUUGCAGAAGACUCAUAGGUCCAAUUCACCAAGGACCUCUGUCAUUUUAUGCUGCAGUGAAGUGCACACUAAGCAGUGAGGUCUCUAGCAGUUGCCAGUUUCUGUCUAUACUGAGUAGCAAACCCACUUUGGGUCCACGCCUCAUUUGGUGAGAGAAUUGGCCUUGGUUGUGCUGAUUAUGUUUUUCAGGUGGGAUAAGGAGUAGGACUCUGUUGAUUCUGCUUUGAUAUGGUAGGUCAUGUUAUCCUCCUGGGCCAUCUCCGUGAGUUGGGGGCAGUGGUUUAUGGUGAUUACAACCCAAACCAGGCUUUUCUAAAUAGUAGUAUUGGGUGACUGUACCUCAGGCCUUCUCAAAAUUCAUCUGCAGGCUGUUAAAAUCAUUAGGAAAUUUUGGACAAGGUGUCACCAGCUCCAUUGUUCUGUAAAUCAGCAGAGGCAAUGCAUGUAUGGAAAUGGUGUCUGGAGGCAAUUGUGGACUGGAUGAGGGCUAUUGCAGCUGAAUCCUGACAAAAUGGAGACUCCAUGGAUAGGUGGUUCCAAAGUCUAGGAAUUGGGUUGUGUACCAGUUCUGGAUGAGAUUACAAUUCUUCAGAAGGAGCAGGUGUGUAGUUUGGGGGCCUAGAGGCCCACCUGACCUUGCUGUCUUAGAGCACCCAUGGCCAACUUUGGUUGGGGCAGCAACUUCAGUACAAGGAUGGCCUUGUUACAGUGGUCCAUUGAUUACUAAUUUCACAGUUACUACUGCAAUGCAUUGCAUGUGGGGCCAUACUUGCACCUGGUUCAGAGGCUGCAACUUGUGCAAAAUUUAGUUCUUAGGUUGCUUAGAAAGAUCUGCACUGGGUGUCUAAGUCAUGGUUUUGGGGUCUCUAAGCAACUUGGGGCCAGUUAAGAUCAUCUGAGGAGAACCUGCUGGUUGUUCCAUGCCUAGUGAAGUGUUACUUGGUGACAAUGUGAAAGCAGGCAUUUUGAGUGAUAGCACCCACCCCAUGGAAUGCUCUCCCUUGGUUAUUUCGUGGAUACAUUAAUGACUAAUAUAUGCCUCUUUAACAUUUAUAAGUUUGCCCCAGCUGUCUUGGACUCUUAUUUUUGACCACUGCUCAGUUUCGUAAUGUACGAUUGAGUUUUGUUUUUAAUCUUAUCUUUUCCCUAGCUUCUUGGAAACAUUAUUAAAUGUUGUAUUUUUAUUCAGCAGUACAAACAUUGAUUAAAUAAUCAAUGUUUAGUCA